AGCACGUAGGUGGGUUUGUAAGUCAGACGUGAAAGCCUUCUGUUCAACGGAAGAAUUGCAUCUGAAACUACAAACCUUGAGUGUAGGAGGGGAGAAUGGAACUUCUGGUGGAGCGGUGAAAUGCGUAGAUAUCAGAAGGAACGCCGGCGGCGAAAGCGAUUCUCUGGCCUAUUACUGACACUCAGUGUGCGAAAGCUAGGGGAGCAAACGGGAUUAGAUACCCCGGUAGUCCUGGCCGUAAAUGAUGGGCACUAAGUAGAGGGG
rnacentral:rRNA from 1 species